rnacentral:rRNA from 1 species
GAUGAACGCUGGCGGCGUGCCUAAUACAUGCAAGUCGAGCGAACGGACGAGAAGCUUGCUUCUCUGAUGUUAGCGGCGGACGGGUGAGUAACACGUGGAUAACCUACCUAUAAGACUGGGAUAACUUCGGGAAACCGGAGCUAAUACCGGAUAAUAUUUUGAACCGCAUGGUUCACAAGUGAAAGACGGUCUUGCUGUCUCUUAUAGAUGGAUCCGCGCUGCAUUAGCUAGUUGGUAAGGUAACGGCUUACCAAGGCAACGAUGCAUAGCCGACCUGAGAGGGUGAUCGGCCACACUGGAACUGAGACACGGUCCAGACUCCUACGGGAGGCAGCAGUGGGGAAUCUUCCGCAAUGGGCGAAAGCCUGACGGAGCAACGCCGCGUGAGUGAUGAAGGUCUUCGGAUCGUAAAACUCUGUUAUUAGGGAAGAACAUAUGUGUAAGUAACUGGGCACAUCUUGACGGUACCGAAUCAGAAAGCCACGGCUAACUACGUG